rnacentral:misc_RNA from 1 species
AUCUUCCACAUCCGCGCUGCAUCUUUUUGCUUUUUUUUUCUACCCCCUUCUCCUUCUUUUCUUUGCUGCCAACGCGAGACACACGCCUCCCCUCCAUCGGCGCCCCGUGCUCGUCCCCCGUUUUCUUUCUGUCGUUGGUGUUGUGAUAGCCCCUCUUGUCCGCCCGUCGUGUUCUCCGUCGCAGCUUGAUCAGCGAGCGCAUCGCUACUCUUCUUCGCUUCACAUUGAAUACGUCCGUCACGGGCUGCCACUGUCCGUGUCUCUCUCUCGUAUUCUUCUUUUGGUUCUACCUGGCGCCCCCUCCUCCAGACCUUUGCACCGCAGCCAUGGCGAUAUCUGGUGUUACGCUCGAGGAAAACGUCCGCGGCGCGAUCGAUGAUCUGCGCAUGAAGAAGAGCCGCUACGUCAUGAUGUGUAUCGGUGCGGACGGAAAGAAGAUUGAGGUGACAGAGGUUGGUGAGCGCAGCGUGAAUUACACCGAUUUGAAGGAAAAGUUCUCGACGGAGAAGCCGUGCUACGUGGCCUUCGACUUUGAGUAUAACGACGCUGGGUCGAAGCGCGAGAAGCUUAUCCUCAUUCAAUGGAUCCCCGACACUGCGAGGCCGCGCGAAAAGAUGAUGUACAGCGCGAGCCGAGAUGCUCUGAGCUCCGUGUCGGAGGGCUACCUCCCCAUCCAGGCGAACGAUGAAUCCGGGUUGGAUGCCGAAGAAAUCAUCCGCAAGGUAAGGCUCCAUCGUAGCGUGUAAGACAGCGCGUGCGUGUAUGUGUACGCGCGUCUUCGAUGCAGCAAGAGAGCGAGAGGGAGGGAGUUAGCGAGGGAAGGGCGGCACCAUAUUGGCAACGGCUGCAGAAAGAUACUUGCGCGCAUGUAAAUACACAGGGUCGCAUGUACACGUUUACGCCUUUGCUGCCCUCCUCUUCUUUCCUCGUUGAGCCUGAAGGCUUGACUUCAAUAAUGUGGCUGACGGCGGAAGGGGUGCAUCGGGACACUUCUGUGUUAGCGUGCAGUUGACAAUGCGCGCCCGUCAGCCGGCGGCGUGUCCGCAGCGGCGGGGAGGGGGAGGGCAGCGGCGUAGAGGCCGCCGGGGACGGAGGCAUCGAUGCUUACCCGUAGGGAUCGGAAUAGGCUCGAACAACGGUGACGGACAGAGGAGCAAAAAAGAGAGACGAGAGCGCGCAAGGGACGAAAGGCUGCGAGGUGAGAAAAGUGCAUGGAAGGCGCGAAGCAGCAUCUUGCAAAGACGGGCAGGAGCAGCACAAGUUGCGGGGGUGACGCUCCUGGAGGCGAUGUGGAGCAGCACUGGUGAGCGAGGAAAGAGGGAUGGCAGAGGCGCGCGCGCGAAAAACGAGGGGCUGCUUCAUCCUUCGUUCUGGGGGAGGGGGGAUUACCAUCGCGGUUAGUGUCGCCGCUGCAGACGCGAAGAGAGCGAGAGGCUGAUGACUGAGCUUCUGACACGCACGCACCCUUGCCGUGCCUCAGUCGCCUUCGCCAGGUGCGUGUACUUGAUGAUACGCAUCCCUUCGUUGGCUUGCACUGGACCAGACAUCAGGGCCGAAAUGCCGAGCAGGCGCGUGUCGCUGCGCUCGCUUUCGCUUUCCCUCCCCUGGUUUCUUCACGCUUUUUUUUUCUACUUGGCUUGCGUGUGUGCCACUGUCUCCGCUUGGCAGCAUAUCCGCGUCGUCUCGCCGCAUUUUUUCUUGUCCCUGUCCUCUUGCAUGUUUGCCGGUUGUCUCUCUCUACUGUUCGUCUCCAUGUAUGCUUUCCUUUCUUCCCGCUCUCUCUCCAUCUGCAGCGGGUACAGGUGCACACGUGGUCGUGUUUGCGCGCGCACCCAGUCUUCAAAGGCCCGCAUGGCAUCCCGCUCCCAACCCACUGUUCGUGCGCGCGCUCUUCUUCUCUUCUUCCUUCCCCCUUCCUGCGCGCGUGCUUGUGUGCUCCUCCUCGUCUUCGCUCACGUCGUCUCCUUCCGCUGGCUUUCGUUGAUUUCGCAAUCUUAUUUUUACUUUUCUCUGUUGUUUGUUUCAUUCGCUUCUCUUCGUCCGCCUCCUCCACAG